rnacentral:rRNA from 1 species
CCACCGGAAAAAGAGGAGUGGCGAACGGGUGAGUAACACGUGGGUAACCUGCCCAUCAGAAGGGGAUAACACUUGGAAACAGGUGCUAAUACCGUAUAACAAUCGAAACCGCAUGGUUUUGAUUUGAAAGGCGCUUUCGGGUGUCGCUGAUGGAUGGACCCGCGGUGCAUUAGCUAGUUGGUGAGGUAACGGCUCACCAAGGCCACGAUGCAUAGCCGACCUGAGAGGGUGAUCGGCCACAUUGGGACUGAGACACGGCCCAAACUCCUACGGGAGGCAGCAGUAGGGAAUCUUCGGCAAUGGACGAAAGUCUGACCGAGCAACGCCGCGUGAGUGAAGAAGGUUUUCGGAUCGUAAAACUCUGUUGUUAGAGAAGAAUAAGGAUGAGAGUAACUGUUCAUCCCUUGACGGUAUCUAACCAGAAAGCCACGGCUAACUACGUGCCAGCAGCCGCGGUAAUACGUAGGUGGCAAGCGUUGUCCGGAUUUAUUGGGCGUAAAGCGAGCGCAGGCGGUUUCUUAAGUCUGAUGUGAAAGCCCCCGGCUCAACCGGGGAGGGUCAUUGGAAACUGGGAGACUUGAGUGCAGAAGAGGAGAGUGGAAUUCCAUGUGUAGCGGUGAAAUGCGUAGAUAUAUGGAGGAACACCAGUGGCGAAGGCGGCUCUCUGGUCUGUAACUGACGCUGAGGCUCGAAAGCGUGGGGAGCAAACAGGAUUAGAUACCCUGGUAGUCCACGCCGUAAACGAUGAGUGCUAAGUGUUGGAGGGUUUCCGCCCUU